rnacentral:rRNA from 1 species
AGUCGAGUUGUUUGGGAAUGCAGCUCAAAAUGGGUGGUGAAUUCCAUCUAAAGCUAAAUAUUGGCGAGAGACCGAUAGCGAACAAGUACCGUGAGGGAAAGAUGAAAAGCACUUUGGAAAGAGAGUUAAACAGUACGUGAAAUUGUUGAAAGGGAAACGAUUGAAGUCAGUCAUGCUCUUUGGAUUAAGCCGUUCUGCGGUGUAUUUCAUUGAGCGGGGUCAACAUCAGUUUUGAUCGCUGGAAAAGGGCAGGAGGAAGGUAGCACUCUCGGGUGAACUUAUAGCCUCUUGUCGUAUACAGUGAUUGGGACUGAGGAACGCAGCAUGCCUUUUGGCCGGGAUUCGUCCACGUACAUGCUUAGGAUGUUGACAUAAUGGCUUUAAACGACCCGUCUUGAAACACGGACCAAGGAGUCUAACAUAUCUGCGAGUAUUUGGGUGUCAAACCCGAGUGCGCAAUGAAAGUGAACGUAGGAGCGAUCCGCAAGGUGCAGCUUCGACCGAUCUGGAUCUUUAGUGAUGGAUUUGAGUAAGAGCAUAUAUGUUGGGACCCGAAAGAUGGUGAACUAUGCCUGAAUAGGGCGAAGCCAGAGGAAACUCUCGUGGAGGCUCGUAGCGAUUCUGACGUGCAAAUCGAUCGUCAAAUUUGGGUAUAGGGG